CUGUGGCUGGAAGCAUGUGGGGAAGAAAAGCCGCCCACCUCAUAGUGUUGAGAAAACAAGAAGAUGGAGAAAAGGGCUCUCGAAGGACACACCCCAAUUGCUCACUCCUAAGUCGCUUAAGCCUGCCUUGCUAAACUUGCCAGUACACUCCCUCGGCCCAUAAGCUAGCAACACUCAGCACUACAAGGUCUUCAGAGGACAUUUCAGAGCCGAACCAAAAUACUCCUGACCCCUACAGCCCAUGGCAUAGAAGUACAAGCCGUGUAUGCUAAGCUGAUAACUUUGUGGCCUUUGUUGCAUGGUGUAGAAAACGAUUACACAGCUAGGGAGAUGGCUCCCUGGACAAGAGCACUUGCUGUGCAGGCAUGAGGACCCGAGGUUGAACCUCCAGCACAUAAAAAACCAGGUUUGAACAUCAAGUUGUAAAAUCAGGCUUAUAAAGAUGACUCCUACAGAGGUGUGUAGUGAUGUGGACCAGGGUGGGACAGGCUCGACAUGGCCCUGAAAACCGUCUUUGGGUGACAAACAGACUGCUGGACUGAAAACCACAACUUCCAAGAAGCAAGAAACUGUAGUGACCACCAAGUUGGCCUUGUUUCCUUCCGAGGUAUUUUCUCCUAACCUUGGGAUGGUACUGUUACCCUUACGCAGUUGCCUAUGGAGCACAUGGUUCCAGAGCCCAGCACUCCAGCCAAGUGCACGUUUCCUGUAGGGUGUGCGGCAGUGAAGGAUCAAGCCUUGCAGAGCAUCUAGGCAAGCUCACAUUUCCUCAUUCAUGAUCAGGCUGGAGCCCAGUAGCCUGCCCUCAGGCCUCAUUGUGACAUGGUGGCCUCAUGGUGGCCCCAAGGAUGACAGAAGAAUGUCACAAGCAGAGCAGAAACUCAACUUCUUGGGAAAGAACCAUUUUCCAGAACGACUUAAGAGUGGGACUUUCUGGAUUUUCAUCUGGAAUUGAGUUUUUUUUGCUUGGCCUCAGAUUGAAAUAGAAAGAACAGCAAUGAGAUAGAAAGUAGACAUGAAUGAGCUAGCCUCGGAUACACCACCUUCACUGAAGCACUUGCCAUGAGCAGCAGUCUGAGACUCACACUGUGAUGUAAGGCAGGGAGAGUCUCCCAGCUGGAGCUGUCAGGAAGAGGCCCCAUGAAAGCACAGCCCCUGGACUGGGUUCCAGAACAGGAGUAGACCCAAAGGCACAGGGAGCCCUCUCCUCCACACCUGGGCUCAGAGGGAAACAGCAUCCAUGGGGCAGAAGCAAGAUUACCCUCGGUCCUGCUGUCCAUGGUCCUACAAGGAGCUCUACAAUCUGUGGCUCAGCAGGGCCAGAUCCUUCAAGUCUUCUGUGAUGACCUUUAAGGCACCAAGAAAUUCCUUCAUUGGUCUCUUACACAAAUGAUAUACCAUGGAUGCAUGAAAUUAUAUGUGAUGUGUGAGCACACACAAGUAUGCACACAAGCAUAUGUGAAAGACUGGUGGUUCUGAAAAUAUUCACCAAAUUGUUAUCAGAAAAUAUAUAGAAUAAAUUUUGGGUGAUUUUCAAUUACUUCUUCAUACCCUCUAAUACUGUUCUAAAGUGUUCUACAAAUAUAAAACAGCAUUUCCUUUUUAAACUGCUAUUUGAGAAGAGAAAAACAAGUCAUGUGAUUAUCAAAGACUAUCAAAGAAAGACUAACCUCUUUAAAAUGAUAACAACUUAAGUCAAAGACAAUUUGCUCUGAAACAAGCUACAAAAAAAAAAAAAAACAACACUGUCACCAUAAACAUGGAUUAUAAGAGUACUGAAUUUCAAAGAUAUAAAUUAGCAUUGAUUAGACGAAGGAAUGAGUAGACAAAUCGCAAGGCCUCACAUCCUGGGGUGGCAUUUAGAGAGUCAGUGCUAUUUUGCAAAAGCUGUUUUGGGGGAAGAAUACAAAAGGCUCUCUUGGAAUCCCUGCUCACUCAUCUGAGAAAAAGGUGCAAGCCAUCAUCACUUCAUCCUUUUCGCUGCAUCUGAAUAUGCGUGUUCAAUCUCCUGGUCAGCUGGACACGUGUUAGUGAACUCAUCCCGGGCAUAAGCAUUGUUCAAGUACCUCCAAAUGCCAGUCAUUUCAGAAGGAAACUCAAAAUCUCUGUAUUUCUUGGCCACAAUCUGCAAAUUAAGAGGAAACGAUGAAAGGAGACAGGCUAUUCACAUGGGUGAUCAGAUGAGCUGCUUUCCUGUGCCACAAUGUUUGCCAUGAGCCUAACAUCAACAAAGCCAGCUCAUCAUGGACUAAUAGCUCUGAAAGCACAGACCAAAGGAAACCUUUCUGCUCUUACAGACUUUCUCAAGCAUUUUGUCAUAGUAACCACUGCCUCUUGUUCAGCCUGCACAUACCUGUCUGGUGCUAUAUGAUCCACAGCAAAGACUACAAAGUCCAUCCCCACAGGAGGCUAAAGCACAGCACAGUGGCAUAAAGAUCACUGGAAAAUAACUCCCAGAGUCAGUCAGCAGCCUGUCAGGGGUUGAGCAGCUUUCAUUCCUCUGGGUGCUGAGACCUUCGUGAAGCUACUGAGAGGACAGUCACUCAGAGAAUUGGCCAAGUCCAUGAAUUAUCAACAACACAUUAUCUUCAAGCUACAUGUGAUAAAUGCCACGGAGACCCUGAGUGCCCUUGAACUUUUCUUCAGGCUGAAGGCAACGGUGAGGACCUGGGGCAGGAAGAACAUUCACAGGGGGAGGUAUGCUUCCUUUCUGAGACAGGCAGUCGGCAGCAAGAGGACCAGAGGGACACAGAGGCAGAUAGACUCAGCCUCUCUGUGCCAUCUACAUAGCCAUGUUACUUCUGGGACUCAUCAGUUUUUAAAGUAGAGACCUGAACACUGUAAAGAAGCCAGGACCGCCUCAUGUCUGUCUUUCGGCAUGCAUGGAGCAUUCAUGUGGCAUGUCUCACAAGCGGAGCAGGCACACCUCUGACCUGCUCUCAGGUGUACCCCUUGCAAGCAGCAUCUGCCUUGGCUUGGAGAGUGGCAGCCACACUGUCCCUACCCACUACGGUGACUGCAGCUACUGCCUUCAGAAGAUCUGGUGGACAACUCAGUGCUGGUCUCACGGGUGAUGACCCUCAAGCCUUCUUGGUGGCUCCUCAGCACCCCACCCCCUCACCCUC